rnacentral:rRNA from 1 species
UACGAAGGGGGCUAGCGUUGCUCGGAAUUACUGGGCGUAAAGGGCGCGUAGGCGGACAGUUUAGUCAGAGGUGAAAGCCCAGGGCUCAACCUUGGAAUUGCCUUUGAUACUGGCUGUCUUGAGUUCGGGAGAGGUGAGUGGAAUGCCGAGUGUAGAGGUGAAAUUCGUAGAUAUUCGGCGGAACACCAGUGGCGAAGGCGGCUCUCUGGGACGGUACUGACGCUGAGACGCGAAAGCGUGGGGAGCGAACAGG